CACGUAGUUAGCCGGGGCUUCUUAGUCAGGUACCGUCAUUUCUUUCUUCCCUGCUGAUAGAGCUUUACAUACCGAAAUACUUCUUCACUCACGCGGCGUCGCUGGAUCAGGGCUCCCCCCAUUGUCCAAUAUUCCCCACUGCUGCCUCCCGUAGGAGUUUGGGCCGUGUCUCAGUCCCAAUGUGGCCGUCCACCCUCUCAGGCCGGCUACUGAUCGUCGCCUUGGUGGGCCGUUACCCCGCCAACCAGCUAAUCAGACGCGGGUCCAUCUUACACCACCGGAGUUUUCAAGAAAGUGGCAUGCGCCUCUUCCUGUUAUGCGGUAUUAGCACCUGUUUCCAGGUGUUAUCCCCCUGUGUAAGGCAGGUUACCCACGCGUUACUCACCCGUCCGCCACUAAACUGCCAACAUUUCCACCCUUAGCAAGCUAAUUGCUUCAAAAAUGACAGUUCCGUUCGACUUGCAUGUGUUAAGCACGCCGCCAGCGUUCAUCCUGAGCCAGGAUCAAACUCU
rnacentral:rRNA from 1 species